rnacentral:rRNA from 1 species
GCGACGGCCAUAUCAGCCUGGGUAUGCCCGAUCUCGUCUGAUCUCGGAAGCUAAGCAGGGUCGGGCCUGGUUAGUACUUGGAUGGGAGACCGCCUGGGAAUACCAGGUGCUGUAAGCA